GGAACUUCCGGCGGAGGCAACUCGUGAGGGGACCGGGACCGGCGGCGGCACCGGGACCAGAACCGGGAACGGGGAACGCGACCGGGAUCGGGAAACCGCAGCCAUGAACAUCCGGAACGCGCGGCCCGAGGACCUGAUGAACAUGCAGCACUGCAACCUGCUCUGCCUGCCCGAGAACUACCAGAUGAAAUAUUAUUUCUACCACGGCCUCUCGUGGCCUCAGCUGUCGUACAUCGCCGAGGAUGAGAACGGGAAGAUCGUCGGAUACGUCCUGGCCAAGAUGGAGGAAGACCCUGAUGAUGUCCCCCAUGGUCACAUCACAUCCCUGGUG